GUGGGGAAUCUUGCGCAAUGGGCGAAAGCCUGACGCAGCCAUGCCGCGUGAAUGAUGAAGGUCUUAGGAUUGUAAAAUUCUUUCACCGGGGACGAUAAUGACGGUACCCGGAGAAGAAGCUCCGGCUAACUUCGUGCCAGCAGCCGCGGUAAGACGAAGGGGGCUAGCGUUGCUCGGAAUUACUGGGCGUACAGGGCGCGUAGGCGGACAGCUUAGUCAGGGGUGAAAGCCCAGGGCUCAACCUUGGAAUUGCCUUGGAUAGUGGCUGUCUUGAGUUUGGGAGAGGUGAGUGGAAUUCCGAGUGUAGAGGUGAAAUUCGUAGAUAUUCGGAAGAACACCAGUGGCGAAGGCGGCUCACUGGACUGGUAUUGACGCUGAGGUGCGAAAGCGUGGGGAGCAAACAGGAUUAGAUACCCGAGUAGUCC
rnacentral:rRNA from 1 species